CCUACGGGGGGCAGCAGUAGGGAAUCUUCCACAAUGGGCGAAAGCCUGAUGGAGCAACGCCGCGUGGGUGAAGAAGGUCUUCGGAUCGUAAAACCCUGUUGUUAGAGAAGAAAGUGCGUGAGAGUAACUGUUCACGUUUCGACGGUAUCUAACCAGAAAGCCCCGGCUAACUACGUGCCAGCAGCCGCGGUAAUACGUAGGUGGCAAGCGUUAUCCGGAUUUAUUGGGCGUAAAGGGAACGCAGGCGGUCUUUUAAGUCUGAUGUGAAAGCCUUCGGCUUAACCGGAGUAGUGCAUUGGAAACUGGGAGACUGGAGUGCAGAAGAGGAGAGUGGAACUCCAUGUGUAGCGGUGAAAUGCGUAGAUAUAUGGAAGAACACCAGUGGUGAAAGCGGCUCUCUGGUCUGUAACUGACGCUGAGGUUCGAAAGCGUGGGUAGCAAACAGGAUUAGAUACCCGGGUAGUC
rnacentral:rRNA from 1 species